rnacentral:lncRNA from 1 species
UCUGGUCUUCUCCAUAUCCUAGUAGCAAGAAACCCUAGGGUUUCUUGGUCGCCAAUCCAAAAAGGAAAGAAAGGAGGCGCUAGAAACCAGCACCCUCCUUGUGCAUGCCCCUGUUUGUGCACCCCCCUCUUGGCCGCCCAAGAGGAGUUGCAUACCCCAUAUUUUUCUUUUUGGAGGCUUCAUCAAGAGUACUUUCAGAUCCCAAAAGAUGGAUUUCAGAUUUGGUAG